GGGGGGGGGGGGGGGGGGGCGGGGCGGGGGGGGGGCGGGCGGGAGGGGCCGGCGUGGGGGGGGUGCUCGAGGGGCGAACGGGUGAGUAACACGUGAGUAACCUGCCCUUGACUUGGGGAUAACUUCAGGAAACUGGGGCUAAUACCGGAUAGGAGCUCCUGCUGCAUGGUGGGGGUUGGAAAGUUUCGGCGGUUGGGGAUGGACUCGCGGCUUAUCAGCUUGUUGGUGGGGUAGUGGCUUACCAAGGCUUUGACGGGUAGCCGGCCUGAGAGGGUGACCGGCCACAUUGGGACUGAGAUACGGCCCAGACUCCUACGGGAGGCAGCAGUGGGGAAUAUUGCACAAUGGGCGGAAGCCUGAUGCAGCAACGCCGCGUGCGGGAUGACGGCCUUCGGGUUGUAACCCGCUUUCGCCUGUGACGAAGCGUGAGUGACGGUAAUGGGUAAAGAAGCACCGGCUAACUACGUG
rnacentral:rRNA from 1 species